ensembl:lncRNA
GUUACACAGAAGGAGGAGUUGGAAAAAAACUGAAAAUGUUUUAAAUGUAAAUUAGAAAACCCUAAGAAAUGAGAAAAGAACAUUUAGAGUCAGAAAACAUCUGAAUGAAUAUCAAAAGGUCAUAUUCUUUGAAUCACUGAAUGACUCAAAUGUGAUCCCUCCACUUUGAUCCACACAGUUUAAAAAGUUUUAAUGCCUGAGCUUUGAAAGACACGGUGUUGGAAAGAGAACAAUAAUGGCGACAAUUUGAGGGUAAAAUGAUGGCUGUAACACUGUGGACACAGCAGCAGUUGAAAGAGAAGUGCUUAAGAUGAAUCUUGGCACAGUGGCAGGCAGAGCUCGUUAAGCAGGCAGGUGUGAGCCUGGUUGCUAUAGUGACCGCACCCAGUGGCUCCAUACACACGUACACAGACAUGCGCCUCACUUUUGCUGCUUAAAAUGAACAGAAAAGUCAGGGCGAAACAAAUCGUUCCCAAAUGAAAAGUAAAAGUCGUAUUGACAAAAUUCUUUCACUGUGAGCGACAGCAAUGUCUAGUCUACCAAAUUCUCAGUUUUCAUGUCUGUGGAGUUUAUUAUAUGGACGUGGUGACAGUGGAAAGACACCAUGCUCUUCUGAUUUUCAAACGAACCUUCUGAGCCAUUUUAACAUUAGAGUCUAUGGAAGAGUUGGAGGGAGGAGGCUGUGCAUUGGUGACAUUUAUGAAAGAACCAUAACACCUAGUACAAUAGUAAACACAUUGGAUGAAAGAGGACAGCGAUGGCUACGUUUUGAGGGUAAAAUCAUACCUGUAGAGCAAACGCUGCAGACACAGCAGCAGUUUUAAAAAAGAUUUUAAGAUUAAUUUUUUUGCUCCUCUCACUCUAGCAGUUGAGCUGUCUCACUCUAGCCCCAACAUUCCGUCCCAUACACACCCAUUAUAAAUUUUGAAAUGGGUGAAAAAACAUCAUGAAACUUAAACUGGAACUGAAGAAAAAGUAUAAUAGAUAUUGAAAAGAUAAAUACAAGUUGAAUAGUUGAAUGUCUUGUCUUCGUUUUAAAGUUUGAAUGGUGGCUCUAUGUCAAUGUAUGUGGAAGUAGUAAGAGUUUAAAAAUGAGUAAGUUGAAUGAGAAUUUGAAGGGUCUCCCCAUUGAAAUACAUUAUAAAUUUUUGUUGAAUAAAGUUGAAUAAAAUUAAAAAUAUAAAUGUUAAAAAUGAGAAAAAUAGAAGCAGUCAUGUCCAAAAUAAUAGGAAUCUAACGAUGUUUGAAUGGUUUUUCUAAGUUGAACGGUUUUGAAGGAGUUAGAUGCCAAAAAACGUACGGAAUAUGGAAUAAUAACUAG